rnacentral:lncRNA from 1 species
UUUUAUUAUAUUAUCAUUAUACUGUUUUGGCCCAAAAUAAUCAAUCAAUCAUUAUCAUAAGUUGAGUUUUAUUUUAAUCUCAAUAUAUUGUGGCCCUUCUAGUGACGCCAAAGAUAAGAUGAUAUCAAUGAGAUAUUAAGGUACAUGACAACCCAACUAGACUCAACAAAAUAUUAAGGUAUCAAUGAGAUUCUCCAAUAAUGUAAUGUAACUGAAUUUUUUCAGGUACAUGGAUGAUGAUAUUCCAAAGGGGUUAUGUGGAUGGAGUUGGAAGGAGAAUAAAUUGUUUGAGUUGGCUUUAGCUUUGGUAGAUGAGAGGCAUCCGGAACGGUGGGAGAUGGUUGCGGCAAUUGUUGGAGGAAA